UACGUAGGGCGCAAGCGUUGUCCGGAAUUAUUGGGCGUAAAGAGCUCGUGAGGCGGUUUUGUCGCGUCUGCCGUGUCGAAAACUCGAGGCUCAACCUCGGGCUUGCAGUGGGGUACGGGCGAGAUCUAGAGUGACGGUAGGGUGACGUGGAAGUUACCUGGUGUAGACGGUGGAAUGCGCAGACUAGUCAGGAGGAACACC
rnacentral:rRNA from 1 species